rnacentral:rRNA from 1 species
AAUAGAUACCCAGGUAGUCCACGCCGUAAACGAUGAGUGCUAAGUGUUAGAGGGUUUCCGCCCUUUAGUGCUGCAGCAAACGCAUUAAGCACUCCGCCUGGGGAGUACAGUCGCAAGACUGAAACUCAAAGGAAUUGACGGGGGCCCGCACAAGCGGUGGAGCAUGUGGUUUAAUUCGAAGCAACGCGAAGAACCUUACCAGGUCUUGACAUCCUUCGCUACUUCUAGAGAUAGAAGGUUCCCCUUCGGGGGACGGAGUGACAGGUGGUGCAUGGUUGUCGUCAGCUCGUGUCGUGAGAUGUUGGGUUAAGUCCCGCAACGAGCGCAACCCUUGACCUUAGUUGCCAGCAUUUAGUUGGGCACUCUAAGGUGACUGCCGGUGACAAACCGGAGGAAGGUGGGGAUGACGUCAAAUCAUCAUGCCCCUUAUGACCUGGGCUACACACGUACUACAAUGGAUGGUACAAAGGGCUGCAAGACUGCGAAGUCAAGCCAAUCCCAUAAAACCAUUCUCAGUUCGGAUUGCAGGCUG